AUGAUCCAUCUCAACAUCGAGAAGAUACCAGAAAAAUACAUCAUUGACAGAUGGAGGAAAAAUGACUACAAGCUCGAUAUUACAAAGACACCAGAUGUUGCAGCAGAGAACUCCACACUAAGGUACAAUGUGUUAGCAAGGAAAAUGGUGCAUGUGGCAUCAAUAGCUUCAAAGAAGAAGAGGAAGUAUGAAUAUCUGCUAGGAGAAUUGGACAGGAUACAGAAAAUAUUGCGAGAAGUGGAUGAUGUAGAAGAAACUGGAGAUGAGGGUCAGAGUGUAACCACAAGAACAAUCACUUUUAUACCAAUAGCAGGGGGUGAAGAGGGGACAACCAUGGCACUGACAAUAGAAGACCCAGAUAUAGCCAAAACAAAGGGUAGGCCAAGGAUGCUAACUAUUCGCGAAUCAAUAAAGCAGAACAAGUUCUACAAAUGCUCGCACUGUGGGUCACAAAAGCACACUAUCAAGAAUUGCACCAACCUUGACAAGCAAUACAAUCUACCCAGAAGCAACAGACGAAAGCAGUCGAACCCUAGGAAUGUAAAGAAAGGUGGGGAGAAGGAUGACAGCAAGCAAAGGAACCGAGGAAAGAAGAAGAUGGACGAAUUAGCAACAACAAAGGCUUAG
rnacentral:rRNA from 1 species